GCUGCCCCCAAGAGUGAGUGCACCUGGGCUUGCGUUCGCGCUUUGAAAGAUUAAAUUAGCUUCGUGAUAAAGCUAGACAGCAGCAUCGACACUCAGAAUCACUGAAAACAACUUACUUUACAGCUAGCUAGCGGUACGUGUGGAGAUGACAAGGUGAAGUGCUGUUCCAAUCUAUCGGAGUGUUGAAAAGACCGUAAGUAACGCACCAUGAACAUCAAAGAAGUUGUAUGCACACGAUUAUAGCCGACCUUAGCCAAACGAUGGUGCCCCGCCGGUUUGGGUGCAGCCUGUGCUCCUACACGGCUGCCGCCAGUAGCCUCGUGGAGCGCCACAUGCGGACACACACGGGCGAGCGGCCGUAUCGGUGCGAGUACUGUUCCAAGGCAUUCAGCCAGCGGUGCAACCUGGUGCGGCACAGCAGGAUGCAUACAGGUCAGCGACUGUCAAGCGGUGGUCCAAAAAGACGCCUUUAGCCAGCGUGAUGUUGUCCUUUCUUGGAGCCUUACAACGUUGAUGCCUGGGAUAGUAAAGCCCAGUGAAGACACGUCCCGGGCACCACAGAAUUUUGUCACACUAUAUUUACAUAUCACACACUUCAAAUGCCGCUGUUUUAAAGUAAAGUGUUGCACUGUAACACAGCUGUGCCGAGCCUGAACAAGUGAAAUGAGGUGGUGCAAGAGUUCUCAGGUGAUUUGUGUAUGGUGCUAAAGAAGUCUUGUUCGCCCUCAUAUUUAGUCACGUUCCAGUCAAGACUAGCCACUGAGGAAAGGUAUUUUUGUAAAUGACUUGCUUGCAAGAUUGGUUAGUGCACCGUGCGCAGCCUUUUAUUAUGAUGUUGAAGCAUCAAGAUAAGAAAGGAAGAUAAUUCAUCAAUGUAAUUGAAGUAUCUUCCAGUCUAUACUAAUCGUACUGGCCACUAAAGGCGAUUAUGGUCAUAAAGGGCUUGCUUGUCUGUAUAAUUGUUUAAGCAUCGUAUGCAGCCGUUUCUUGAUGCUUCGGCCCUAGUCACGACAGGUCAGGAAUGCAGUAGUAAGUGCCCCUCAAAGGGAAUGUGUGUACAUGAGCCGGCAAAUGCCCUCAUCCCUGGUAUCCCUUUCCUUCCAUAUGCUAGUUAUCUGCUUCCUUUCACUGAAACUUCUCCCUUGCAGGAGAAGCACAUUUGUUAAGUGCCAGUGAUACCCAUUGUCAAGGGAUCAGCCAGGUCAUUCAGCCUUGUCUGUGGUGCGCUCUCGGGGAGUAGAGAGUGUUGGCAAGGAAGUACCAUAUUUAUUCGAUUAUAUGGCAGUCACGAUUAUACGGCGAGGGUGCCCCAGUUGGGGGACCCCAAAAAAUUAACUUAGGUAUGCACACUCAUGUAAGGCAAUAUAGAGUAGCCGACGAAUUCUUUAAACUCAAUGGGGAUUGCCCAAUGUAUCGAAUAAUCAGAAGCCCCCCAGAAUAAUCGGUGUGAGUUAUAUGCAAAUUUCGCCUUAAGGUGCGACUUCGUGGCAGUGUGAAUUUCGCCUUAUAAUGUCGCUUUUUGGCAGCGCGUGCCGCGUUGCCGUGAAGCUACAUUGCAAGCCGGAAUUCGCGCUGCCCUGAAGUCACACCUCAGAGCAACUUUCGCAAAUAGCCCACAACCUGUCUUUGCUGUUAAAUUUUUUUGAGCUCUCUGUACAGUACUGCUUCACAUGCUGUGUUUAAUUAGUUGCUACAAUUUGCGCUGCUGUCUAAAAUCUGAAUCGCUGGAUAUCUGGCGCCACUGCCAACAUAUUUAAACGCUAACUGAAUAUAUCAGCCCCAUAUAUAAAGUGGGGGGUGACUUCAAGGCUAAGCAUUCCGGGGAAAAAACCUCGCCAUUCAUUCAAAUAAAUACAAUACCUUGUACAGGACAUUAGGGCAAAUCACUCAAUCGUUCAAAGGAACUUUUAUUUCUCCAUGAGACUUACGGUGGUAAUGAAAAAAAAUCCACAAUUUGCAGCUUGACGAGGCUCCUGGUCCCUUGAGCAUUUGAAGGAAGUAAGCCGCGGUACACUUGUAAGUGAUGUAUGUGCAGGAAGCAGCAGAUCACGAUGGAUAAAUCCGUGGACUAUGCAAAAAAGUUAAAAGAAAAAGACACUUAUAAAGGCAAAAAGGACUCAGCUGAGAUGCACCACUGUGAAAAGUUUGCAAAGCACAAAAAAUGCAAGCAUGUUGCAAAAGAAAUAACUUACCUGCGUAAUGAAGGCGACACAAGGGGAAAAACAUGUGAAUAGCCUUAUACAGAGAUAAGAUACAUUCACAAAACUCAUGAUCAACAAGGGGACACAACAUUGCCUUUCAGAGCAUAUAUCAAGGAAUGCAAUCAAGGUUACUUCUAACAAUUAAAUUCGAGCAGUUCGAAAAAAAGCCCUACUAUGCAUAUGCAUCUCCUAGCCCUUUAGAAACUAUCUGUUUGAGCUGUAGAGCUGCCUUCUUCAUCCACGUGCUUGGCAAUUUAUUUGUUUGUAAAUAUGGCAUACUAUCACAGGAUGAUUUUUGUUUUUGAACAUCUUGGUCUUCUCAUCUUUGCACUGGUGACGUCAUGUAGAAACUGUACUUUAUCACCUGCAGGGGCAUGAAAUAGAUGCAUCAUGCUUUCCAGGGGGUAGUUUCUUCUGCUUUCCUGACUUGUCACCUAUUAUAGUAAGUUUUAAUAUAAAUGUGAGUAUACUAAUACCUAUUACGUCUUUCUUUAAAUAGAUGUUGCACUCAUUUCAUGGUCCCAAAACACAUUUGCAACAGUCACACUUUUGUCAUUCCUCUGUUUAGGCGGCAAGUCAUUUCAACCUUUCACAUACGUUGUGUUCUCAUCGUAGUACAAGUUGCCAAGGGUUGCUAUAUCUUAAACUGUGCCACAGGUGAUACAAUCCCAUUGUGCCAGGCCACAUGCCAGCAGUUAAUGGAACAUAUUAUUUAUGGCUUCUUGUUUGUUUGCGUAUGAGGCCAUACAUAUACAGUACAGUCAAAUUAUUAUGCAGCUUGCAGUGACAUGCAGAUGUAAUGAUGGAGGCUUGCAUAGUAUAUCAAGAAUUGAAGGUGUGAAAAGUCAGCCUGGAUACAUCUUGCAUUUUCCCCAUCAAAGUUCCUA
rnacentral:lncRNA from 1 species